GACGAACGCUGGCGGCGUGCUUAACACAUGCCAGUCGAACGGCAAGGCCCUGCUUUGGUGGUGUGCUCGAGUGGCGAACGGGUGAGUAAUACGUGAGUAACCUUCCUUUGACUUUGGGUUAACUUCAGGAAACUGGGUCUAAUACCGGUUCGGAGCACCUGCUGCAUGGUGGGGGUUGGAAAGUUUCGGCGGUUGGGGUUGGACUGGCGGCUUUUCAUCUUGUGGGUGGGGUAGUGGCUUACCAAGGCCUUGACGGAUAGCCGGCCUGAGAGGGUGACCGGCGACAUGGGGACUGAGAUACGGCCCAGAGUCGUACGGGAGGCAGCAGGGGGGAAUAUUGUACAAUGGGCGGAAGCGUGAUGAAGAAACGCCGCGGGCGGGAUGAAGGCCUGCGGGUUGUAAACCGCUUGCGCCUGUGACGAAGCGUGAGUGACGGUAAUGGGUAAAGAAGCACCGGCUAACUACGUG
rnacentral:rRNA from 1 species